rnacentral:rRNA from 1 species
AGGUAAGCUACUAAGAGCGAAUGGUGGAUGCCUUGACUGGUAAAGGCGAUGAAGGACGUACUAGACUGCGAUAAGCUACGGGGAGCUGUCAAGAAGCUUUGAUCCGUAGAUUUCCGAAUGGGGCAACCCAAUGUAUAGAGAUAUACAUUACCUAUAUAGGAGCGAACGAGGGGAAUUGAAACAUCUUAGUACCCUCAGGAAAAGAAAUCAAUAGAGAUUGCGUCAGUAGCGGCGAGCGAAAGCGCAAGAGGGCAAACCCAGUGCUUGCACUGGGGGUUGUAGGACUGCAAUGUGCAAGAGGUAAGUUUAGCAGAACAUUCUGGAAAGUAUAACCAUAGAGGGUGAUAGUCCCGUAUGCGAAAAACAAACCUUAGCUAGCAGUAUCCUGAGUAGGGCGGGACACGAGGAAUCCUGUCUGAAUCCGGGUCGACCACGAUCCAACCCUAAAUACUAAUACCAGAUCGAUAGUGCACAAGUACCGUGAGGGAAAGGUGAAAAGAACUGAGGUGAUCAGAGUGAAAUAGAACCUGAAACCAUUUGCUUACAAUCAUUCAGAGCCCUAUGUAGCAAUACAGGGUGAUGGACUGCCUUUUGCAUAAUGAGCCUGCGAGUUGUGGUGUCUGGCAAGGUUAAGCAAACGCGAAGCCGUAGCGAAAGCGAGUCUGAAUAGGGCGCUUAGUCAGAUGCUGCAGACCCGAAACGAAGUGAUCUAUCCAUGAGCAAGUUGAAGCUAGUGUAAGAACUAGUGGAGGACUGAACCCAUAGGCGUUGAAAAGCCCCGGGAUGACUUGUGGAUAGGGGUGAAAGGCCAAUCAAACUUCGUGAUAGCUGGUUCUCUCCGAAAUAUAUUUAGGUAUAGCGUUGUGUCGUAAUAUAAGGGGGUAGAGCACUGAAUGGGCUAGGGCAUACACCAAUGUACCAAACCCUAUCAAACUCCGAAUACCUUAUAUGUAAUCACAGCAGUCAGGCGGCGAGUGAUAAAAUCCGUCGUCAAGAGGGAAACAACCCAGACUACCAGCUAAGGUCCCUAAAUCUUACUUAAGUGGAAAACGAUGUGAAGUUACUUAAACAACCAGGAGGUUGGCUUAGAAGCAGCCAUCCUUUAAAGAAAGCGUAAUAGCUCACUGGUCUAGUGAUUUUGCGCGGAAAAUAUAACGGGGCUAAAGUAAGUACCGAAGCUGUAGACUUAGUUUACUAAGUGGUAGGAGAGCGUUCUAUUUGCGUCGAAGGUAUACCGGUAAGGAGUGCUGGAGCGAAUAGAAGUGAGCAUGCAGGCAUGAGUAGCGAUAAUUAAUGUGAGAAUCAUUAACGCCGUAAACCCAAGGUUUCCUACGCGAUGCUCGUCAUCGUAGGGUUAGUCGGGUCCUAAGUCGAGUCCGAAAGGGGUAGACGAUGGCAAAUUGGUUAAUAUUCCAAUACCAACAUUAGUGUGCGAUGGAAGGACGCUUAGGGCUAAGGGGGCUAGCGGAUGGAAGUGCUAGUCUAAGGUCGUAGGAGGUUAUACAGGCAAAUCCGUAUAACAAUACUCCGAGAACUGAAAGGCUUUUUGAAGUCUUCGGAUGGAUAGAAGAACCCCUGAUGCCGUCGAGCCAAGAAAAGUUUCUAAGUUUAGCUAAUGUUGCCCGUACCGUAAACCGACACAGGUGGGUGGGAUGAGUAUUCUAAGGCGCGUGGAAGAACUCUCUUUAAGGAACUCUGCAAAAUAGCACCGUAUCUUC